GAUGAACGCUGGCGGCGUGCCUAAUACAUGCAAGUCGAGCGGACAGACGAGGAGCUUGCUGCUCUCACGUUAGCGGCGGGCGGGUGAGAAACACGUGUAUAACCUACCUAUAUGUCUGGGAUAACUUCGGGAAACCGGAGCAAAUACCGGAUGAUCUAUUGAACCGCAGGGGUCAAUAGUGAAAGACGGUUUUGCUGUCACUUCUCGAUGGAUCCGCGCCGCAUUAGCUGGUUGGUAAGGUAACGGCUUACCAGGGCUACGAUGCGUAGCCGAGCUGAGGGGGGGAUCGGCGGCACUGGAGGUGAGCCGCGGUCCAGGGGCCUACGGGAGGCAGCAGUAGCGAAUCGUCGGCAAUGGGCGGAAGCCUGACGGAGCGACGCCGCGUGAGUGCUGAAAGUCUUCGGAUCGGAAAACUGUGUUAUGGGUGAAAAACAAAUUUGUAAGUAACUAUGCACGGCUUGACGGUACCGGGUAAAAAAGCAACGGCUAACUACGUG
rnacentral:rRNA from 1 species